rnacentral:rRNA from 1 species
UACGUAGGGUGCAAGCGUUAAUCGGAAUUACUGGGCGUAAAGCGUGCGCAGGCGGUUCUGCAAGUCAGAUGUGAAAUCCCCGGGCUCAACCUGGGAACUGCAUUUGUGACUGCAUGGCUAGAGUACGGUAGAGGGGGAUGGAAUUCCGCGUGUAGCAGUGAAAUGCGUAGAUAUGCGGAGGAACACCGAUGGCGAAGGCAAUCCCCUGGACCUGUACUGACGCUCAUGCACGAAAGCGUGGGGAGCAAACAGG